rnacentral:lncRNA from 1 species
AGCCAUCGGCCGCCGUGUUCCGCUACCGAAAAUCGCCCACAGGCGGCGGCCGUCGUCCAAACCACCCCAAAAUUUCACCCUUUCUUCCUCUCAACCUCCUUUCCAUGAAUCCAAACCCCAAAUCCUUUAAAUCCCUCUCAAUCCCCGUAAAUCUAUGCCUAACCGAAACCCUAGGCGCCGCUCACCACCCCAAACUCCAAAAUUUUUACACCACCGGUCUCCUCUCACUCUCCUCUUCUCCGUUCCAUGCCCCAAAACCUUCAAAACCCCUCCAAAAUCCGACCACAAUUCCGCCGAAUUCCGGCCAGCUACCUCCUGCCGUUACUGAGCCUCUUUUCUAGCAUGAACACGACCUCGUGGCCUCUCUUUCUCUUUGCCACAGUGCUGGAAUCAACUUUGUUUUGCCAAAGUUUGUAUUUUUUGGCAUUUGACAUCGAGAAAAAGAGGUGUGGAGAUCGAUUCGCCGUCUAGUCGUGUUGUACUACUGGUUUGAAGCCCGAGCGUUUAGGUAAAAUCCAAAUCCCUUGUUCAUCAAUUUUAGUCUUUCUUUGUUGACUGAUUUUGAGAUUGUUUUUAUUUGUUUAGUUUAAGUUCUGUUUUUUUUCUUCUUCUUAAUUAGUGAUUUUAGUCGUCGUUUGUUGAUUUUGAAUUAUUAUGUUGUCCGUUCUUUUAGUUCUUUGUUUCGAUCGGUUAUCUCAUAUUUUCUGCUAGUGGUUUGAAAUUAGUUAUAGAUUCAAGUUUGUAAACUUCAAGUAUAGUUUCUGUUAGUUCAUGUUUAGCUCGUCCUGAUAAUUAACUAAAGUUUCAGCUUUUCGGCAUAAUCACUUGUCAAUUUGGUUACUCGUUUGUUUGAGUUGGCGUUAUUAGUUAGUCGUUUGUAGUUGUGAAUCAGUGAUGUUAGUCUUCUCUCGGUGAUUCUUAGUUUAGUCGUCUAUAUGUUCGAGUUAGCCAUAUUAUUUCGUCCCUCGCUACUGAUUCUGUCAACUUCGAGUAGUCGCUUUAUCGGUUUAGACUCGAGUAUAUUAGUUUGAAUUAUUAUUAGUUCAGGUUAUUCAGAUUGUGUUUUAGAUUCAAUUAGUUGAUUAACAUGUUAUUUAUAUUGUCGUCGUCUUUGAUAAGAAUCCUCUGUUUCGUUUAGUGUUAGUAACUGUUAGUUAUUUGAUUCAAUUAACUGCUAGAUUGUGCUUUAGAUUCAAUUAGUUUAUUAACAUGUUGCUUAUAUUGUUGUUGACAUAAGAAUUAUCUGCUUGUUUAUUGGCAUAAGAAUUAUCUGCUUGUUUUCUUUGUGGUGGCUCAUGCAUUCUUCUAUGAGCUCUUGUCCAUGUACCCUUAGUCCAGAAAAUAAGUAUGUAGUUUCUAUUUUGUGCAAAGAUUAAUCUGGUAACUGCGAUAGGGCUUUGUUUCAGUUUAUUUGUGAGUUAGUCCCAUAUCAUGGGUUCGAACCUUUCUGCCACACACAAAGCCUGGUGUGGCAAAGGAGAAUGUCGGGCCUGUACUCUACUGGAGUUAUAGUCUUGCUAUAAUUCCAAAGAAAAAAGAAAAGGAGGUUGACAACUAACUUUUGGUUGUGGUGCACACCCUUAUUGGCGUUUACCAUAUGAAAUCUACUCCCUUUGCUGGUUGCUGAUGCAUUCGUUUAAUUCCUGGGCUAUCUUAAUUCCUCCGAUUCAAGGUCAAAAGUUAUAGUUUGUUUCUGCUUUUUGUGAAGGGUUAACAUCAAGCUGAAUAGAACAUUACAUUUUGUCACAUUGUCCAUUUUAAGAAUUUAAGUUGAUGAAUUACUUGCAGUUAAUUCACAGUUCAUUCUCUUUUGUUCAUUACUCAUGGUUGUGAUCUUUGGAUCGGUAGUAUCAUACCAGUCUUCUGUAAUUAUAUGCUCAUAUCUCUUUAAUUAAAGUUUCAGCUUUUCGGCAUAAUCACUUGUCAAUUUUGGUUGUUAUAGGCUCUAAUUGGUAGUAUUUUGUUAUUGAACAUUUGUAUAGUUGUUGUUGUGGUUGGCGUUGUUGUUAUUAGCGUUGUUGUUGUGGUUGUGGUUGUUAUUAGCGUUGUUGGUUAAUUGUUGUUGUUGGUUAACUGUUGUUGUUGUUGUUGGUUAAUUAUGGUUGAAUGGCAGCAAUGUAAUGCUGCCAUUAUAGGAUGGAUAUUGGUUGUAAUUGGCAGGUGGUGUCGGAAAUCUCAUUUUUUUUUCCAGAAAUUCAAAAUUUCCGACCGAAGUUGGUCGGAAAUUUUGAAUUUAAAUAAAUUAACAAUUUAUUACAAUUUACAAAUAAUUAUAUAUUUAAAUAAAAUUAUUAUAUAUUUAAAAUUCCGACCGAUUUCGGUUAGUAUUUUGAAAAUUAAAUAAAAAAAAAUUUAAUUAAUACCGACUGAUUUUCGGUCGGUAAAUGCAGUUUGACUGUCAGUCAACGCAUUGAAUAAACCGACCGUUUUCGGUUGGAAAUUUCCGACCGAUUUCGGUUGAAACUCCUUAGUGACCAUAAUUUUUCCGACUAAUUAAAAGCGGUCGGAAAUCGGUCGCUUUUUCUCCAUUUCCGACCGAUUUUGGUCGGUUUUCCUGGACGAAAUUAGCCUAGUGACUGUUAGUUAUUGUGUCUGAGUUCGACUCUUCCAACAAGAUUAAGUAGAUAUAUGUAAGAAUAUUACUUGUACUCUAAUUUCUAGCACUGUAUAAAGAUGAACAACAACCCAUAAAGGGUGUGUGUUGGUUUCAUAUGGGUAAAGACAUGGAUUUAACCAUGAGAUUAUUGGAUAAUCUCAACCUUUUCAUUUUGGGACAACUACUCAAAAACAAGAUUCAUGAAUUCCUUCACAUUAAAAGGCAAUUGCAGGGAUCCAUUCAUGUUCAGAUCCUUGCCAUUCCAUUUCAGAGUUGUUACAGCAUAAAAAAGGAAAAUAUUAUAUUGUAUUAUUGAAAAAUGUUUGCCUAGUGAAGUUAUAGAGAAAUAUUAACACCACAUUCCUAAUAAAAGAAAAAUAUUUUAUCAAUAAUAUACUACAAUUCCUCUUCAAGUGAUAAUAACUUAUAGAGAAGAAAAGAUAGGGAGGCCGGGUAGAGUAUAACCAGCAUCAACAAUAAAGAUAUUGCCAGAUACAUAGUUGGAAGAGUCAUGGACCAAAUAUCUCACUAGUGAAGUUAAUGCUGGAUCUGUGGUUCCAAAAGUUUUCAGUGGAACAGUUCUUGUUGCUACAUUCUUUAGCCAAUCUUGUUCUACUAGUUUCUCAGUAAUCUCCGAUUUGAAAAGCCCUGGAGCUAUUGCAUUCACUCUAAUGUUGUGUUCUCCCAAUUCUAAUGCCAUUAUCUGCAAACGUACAGAUAUAUCAAAAUGUCAAUUUAGAGAUUUCCGAAGAUGGGAAAGCAAGAAAUGUUAGUCUAAGAAAACAGAUAUUUUUAAGAAAUAAAUUAGAAGCGACGAAAGUUAUAAUUCAUACAAAGUUAGCACUAUUUCAACUUUCUCUUUUCAUAAAAUUUAAAGGAGUAGGGGUGUGUUUGGUAUGACGAACAUCAUUUUAUGGAAAAUAUUUUUUUAACGAAAUGCCUUCUGGUUGGAGAGUUGAAAAUAUUUUCUACAUAAAGAAUCAUUUAUUAAAGUUCGAUAAUAAUAUAGCAAAUAAGUGUUUGAUUAAAAAUUGUGUAUUCAAAAUUGAUUAUAUUAUUAUCGAACUUUAAUAAAUGAUUCUUUAUGUAGAAAACUUGGGAUAAUUGUCAAGGAGAAUAACUUCCGAUGGAAAAUGAUGGAAGUCAUUUUUCCCGUUCGAUGGAAACUAUUUUUCCUGAAAGACAUUUUAUAACAAUCAAACACCAGAAAAUAACUUCAUAUCAAAAGCACCUUAGUUUUUAUCAUUUGGAACUUUUUUCCUUGGGUAAGAUAAGUUUCAACAUUAGGUUAUAACCUUUGUCAUGGAAUCCAUGGCAGCCUUGGAGGAGCUAUAGGCAAUUCCCCCACGCAUUAAAGCUCUAUUUAAACCAGAAAUAGAUGAAAUAUUAAUAAUGGAGCCUCCCCUUUUUGCAGCUUUCAUAUGUCUUCCAACAUACUUGGAAACUAGCCAAGAUCCUGUCAAAUUUGUUUGUAAAGUAUUGCGCCACUCUUCCUCAGA